UAGCUAGUUGGUGAGGUAAAGGCUUACCAAGGCGACGAUCUGUAGCGGGUCUGAGAGGAUGAUCCGCCACACUGGAACUGAGACACGGUCCAGACUCCUACGGGAGGCAGCAGUGGGGAAUUUUGGACAAUGGGGGCAACCCUGAUCCAGCCAUGCCGCGUGAGUGAAGAAGGCCUUCGGGUUGUAAAGCUCUUUCGGCCGGGAAGAAAUCGCAUGGGCCAAUACCCUGUGUGGAUGACGGUACCGGAAUAAGAAGCACCGGCUAACUACGUGCCAGCAGCCGCGGUAAUACGUAGGGUGCGAGCGUUAAUCGGAAUUACUGGGCGUAAAGCGUGCGCAGGCGGUUUUGUAAGACAGGCGUGAAAUCCCCGGGCUUAACCUGGGAACUGCGUUUGUGACUGCAAGGCUAGAGUACGGCAGAGGGGGGUGGAAUUCCACGUGUAGCAGUGAAAUGCGUAGAGAUGUGGAGGAACACCAAUGGCGAAGGCAGCCCCCUGGGUCGCUACUGACGCUCAUGCACGAAAGCGUGGGUAGCAAACAGGAUUAGAUACCCUGGUAGUCCACGCCCUAAACUAUGUCAACUAGGUGUUGGGUGGGUAAAACCAUUUAGUACCGUAGCUAACGCGUGAAGUUGACCGCCUGGGGAGUACGGCCGCAAGGUUAAAACUCAAAGGAAUUGACGGGGACCCGCACAAGCGGUGGAUGAUGUGGAUUAAUUCGAUGCAACGCGAAAAACCUUACCUACCCUUGACAUGCCAGGAACUUGCCAGAGAUGGCUCGGUGCCCGAAAGGGAGCCUGGACACAGGUGCUGCAUGGCUGUCGUCAGCUCGUGUCGUGAGAUGUUGGGUUAAGUCCCGCAACGAGCGCAACCCUUGUCGUUAAUUGCCAUCAUUUAGUUGGGCACUUUAACGAGACUGCCGGUGACAAACCGGAGGAAGGUGGGGAUGACGUCAAGUCCUCAUGGCCCUUAUGGGUAGGGCUUCACACGUCAUACAAUGGUCGGUACAAAGGGUUGCCAAGCCGCGAGGCGGAGCCAAUCCCAGAAAGCCGAUCGUAGUCCGGAUUGCAGGCUGCAACUCGCCUGCAUGAAGUCGGAGUCGCUAGUAAUCGUGGAUCAGCAUGUCACGGUGAAUACGUUCCCGGGUCUUGUACACACCGCCCGUCACACCAUGGGAGCGGGUUCCGCCAGAAGUAGGUAGCCUACCGCAAGGGGGGCGCUUACCACGGCGGGGUUCGUGACUGGGGUGAAGUCGUAACAAGGUAGCCGUAGGGGAACCUGCGGCUG
rnacentral:rRNA from 1 species